ACCCUACUCGUCUGCAUGGAGAGGAGCUUGUGCUGCACACAAAAGGCACUGGCACUCCAAAAAGCAGAAGCUCUCCCCUCUGCCCCCCAGUUCAGGAACAGCAGCCCUGUCAGAGGAGCAACCCCUUCAGUGCCUGCAGAGGGUGCAGAAGUAUGGGGCUGCUUGCUGCUCACCUGUUUGGCAUCGGCGCUGCACAGGUCUCAGCUGGAUGAUGGCCACCCAGGGCCUGGUGUGCGUGGCAUUGGUGGCCGUGCUGUGCGAUGGAGCAGAGAGGAGGGGCCUGCCUGGCGUUUUGGCUGUGCCUUCCGUGACAGCAGCACACCGUGCAGAGGAGACUUGAGAUGGGACAAGAAGC
ensembl:lncRNA